rnacentral:rRNA from 1 species
UACGGAGGAUCCGAGCGUUAUCCGGAUUUAUUGGGUUUAAAGGGUGCGUAGGUGGCUUAUUAAGUCAGGGGUGAAAGACGGUAGCUUAACUAUCGCAGUGCCUUUGAUACUGAUGAGCUUGAAUAUACUAGAGGUAGGCGGAAUGUGACAAGUAGCGGUGAAAUGCAUAGAUAUGUCACAGAACACCAAUUGCGAAGGCAGCUUACUAUGGUAUGAUUGACACUGAGGCACGAAAGCAUGGGGAUCAAACAGG